GGCAGAAGUACACGAAUCAACCAAGACAUUAUAUGUUUUAGAUAUUAAACCUUUAGAGAGAUUGUUUUUAUAUUAUAACUUGUUCUAUGUCAGUAAGAUCACAUCUCAGCUUACCAUUAUCAGACAGAGGUUUUAUGAAAUGACGCAGCUGAAGGUAUUUGAAGAAAUGGAACUGUGGUAUACUAUAUUGGUGCGAUAUUUCUUGGAAGGAUUUUAAUGCCUCGCCUGAAAGGAGACAAGAUAAUUGCGAGAUCCCUAACUUAGACCAGACUGAAAGGCCGAUAUUUUGCAGAGAUAUAGGGAAGUCGGGAUUAAAAGAGGAAUCUAUUAUUUAAUAUGAAAGGUGUACAAUUAAUAUACAACCAAUAGAAAGAGUUAGAGCUGGAGAGCUAAAGUCUGUAUAUUUUUACCAUAUUUAAAUGCAAAACGCUCUUAUUUAAUUGCCUGCCCUGCACAUUAUAGUGUAUAAUUAGCAUAAUUAUAUAAGUACAAUUCACUAACAAAUACGUAGGACAAUGUGAACACCAAGACCGUGUUUUGAGCCUGUGUAUUCAUUUCUUGCAGUCAUUUUGAAGACAGUAUGUACAUGUCAUAUUGAGGCCUUUACUUUUCGUCCCGUUGUUUUGAAUUAGACCCCUAGGGGGCGCUGAGGUGGAGCUGAUUGUUCAGUAGCAGCAGGUGAGUACAGAGGAUUUUGGAUUUCUGGCGAUUCGUGACAUUGUUUGUUUCACAAAAGCGGACAUACAACUUGUGACACACGGAACUAUUUAUCCGGAACUAUUUAUCGGGAAUAUGGCGCCCGGGAUCAUAUUAGAGGUCGGACACAGAAACUUUCUCUCGUUUGUGCUUAUUUAACAAUCUUUGUUCAAAUAUUCUGAUUAUAGUCACCUGGAAUUGGUGUGUGUGGUGGUGCAGUCACUAGCUGAUGGAGCUGCAAUUCAUACUUACCUGGCAGGGGAGAUACCAUGAUCAAGAAGGUGGUUCACCCAGGGCGAGGCUCAGCCAUUGCACUCCGGCUGUGCUGACCCCUGCGAAUUCCCCAAAUGUGGGAAUCUCGACUGCAUAAUUUCUGGUAGUGGGGGACUGCGUUCGCGCUCUCCCCUGA